CUCCCAAACCCCUGUGAACAUACCACUUGUUGCCUCGGCGGAUCAGCCCGCUCCCGGUAAAACGGGACGGCCCGCCAGAGGACCCCUAAACUCUGUUUCUAUAUGUAACUUCUGAGUAAAACCAUAAAUAAAUCAAAACUUUCAACAACGGAUCUCUUGGUUCUGGCAUCGAUGAAGAACGCAGCAAAAUGCGAUAAGUAAUGUGAAUUGCAGAAUUCAGUGAAUCAUCGAAUCUUUGAACGCACAUUGCGCCCGCCAGUAUUCUGGCGGGCAUGCCUGUUCGAGCGUCAUUUCAACCCUCAAGCACAGCUUGGUGUUGGGACUCGCGUUAAUUCGCGUUCCCCAAAUUGAUUGGCGGUCACGUCGAGCUUCCAUAGCGUAGUAGUAAAACCCUCGUUACUGGUAAUCGUCGCGGCCACGCCGUUAAACCCCAACUUCUGAAUGUUGACCUCGGAUCAGGUAGGAAUACCCGCUGAACUUAAGCAUAUC
rnacentral:misc_RNA from 1 species